AAGCAGAAGAUGGGAAGGUGAAUUUGGAAGAUUUCAUGAUGGCUUUGACCAAGUGUCAGCAAUGUUCCCGAACUGAAAAAGACAAGGUUAACAUCCGAAGCCUGGACUGUAUUCUGGACAACAUGGGGAUUUUCCUAACCCAUAGGGAGAUCCAAGAGGCUCUGAAGAACAUUACCACUGAUGAUUCUGGCAAGGUGAAUCUAACCAAAUUUAUGACGAGUGUAAGGGCUCUCCGGAAAUUCUCC